rnacentral:ncRNA from 2 species
CAUACAAGCUAGGGGUGCUCUGAUGAGCUGAGAUGGUGGUUGCCAGACCCUUUGAACCUGAGAGUUAGCACUCACGUAGGAAAGCUGAUUGAACGUGUG